rnacentral:rRNA from 1 species
GAUGAACGCUGGCGGCGUGCCUAAUACAUGCAAGUCGAGCGAUCGGACUCGGGGUAGCAAUACUCCGAGUUACGGAGCGGCGAACGGGUGAGUAACACGUGAGCAACCUGCCUCAGAGACGGGGAUAACGUUGGGAAACCAACGCUAAUACCCGAUGACCCUGCAGUGGGACAUCCCACAGCAGGCAAAGGGUUGGGCAACCUUCUGCUCUGAGAGGGGCUCGCGGCCUAUCAGCUUGUUGGCGGGGUAACGGCCCUCCAAGGCGAUGACGGGUAACUGGCGUGAGAGCGCGAUCAGUCACACCGGGACUGAGACACGGCCCGGACUCCUACGGGAGGCAGCAGUAGGGGAUCUUGGACAAUGGGCGAAAGCCUGAUCCAGCGACGCCGCGUGGGGGACGAAGGCCUCGGGUUGUGAACCCCUGUUGUUGGGAAGAAGCCGGGCGUUCGCCCGGUGACGGCACCCAACGAGGAAGCCCCGGCUAACUACGUGCCAGCAGCCGCGGUAAGACGUA